rnacentral:lncRNA from 1 species
AUCUCUCUCUCUCUCUCCUUCUGAGAUUUUGAGAGAGUCUCCUCUCUCUCUCCCUCUCGCUCCUCAUGAUCCUAUUUUUUAUAUUUAUUUUUAUGUGAUAAUUACAGAUACACGUUAUAUAUCUGUACGUAUAUCUAUCUUAUAUUGAUGGAGACAAUUACCAUUGGAAUCUGACCAUGGAUCUCAUUUCUUCUUGAGAUAUUUUCUUCUCCCUUUCUCUUUUUUUUUUUCCCGUCUCCCAGAUCUGCUCGUCAAUCUGACCAUUGGAAAGCUUCAAGCUUUUUUUUUUCUGGGUAAUUCUUUAUUUUAAGCAAAAAAAAAAAACAAUUCAUUGAAUUAUUAGAUUCUUAUUUUUAUAGGUUUUUCUUUACAUCUAAACUUGAAGUACGAUAUGUUUUUGUUCGUCAUGAAGUUGAUGCUUUUCCGUUUCCCUUUAUUGCUCUAACUGUUGAAAGUUGAUGAUUUUAGGAAAAUUUAUAUACUUACUUUGUAUUAUAUCUAUGUAAAUGUGCGUAAUGAAUAUAUGUAUAUGUGCUAUAGUCCUUCCUUUUCUGGAAAAUCUUGUAAAGCGUUUAUGGAAUCUUUCAUAAUAGCAUCACUUAUUUGCAUGUUUAGGUAAAUACUGAAAUUUAUAUUCUUGUAAAUCGUUUAUGGAAGGUUUUUUUUUGUGUGGAUGAUCAAUAUGUAGGUUUAUUCUCAUCAAUGGGCCUAAUAUUAUGAGGGUUUUGCAGAGGUUUUUUAGAUUAUCGGAAAUCGGAUUACAUAGGAACAGAAUCAGAAUUCUGAUAUUGAUUCCUUUCAUUUGAUUAAGCUGUCCAAUUAUGUACAUUGCUGCUGUUGUUGUUCUGCUCGCUGAUCUUGUUCUUGAUUCAAACAUUUAAGUUAUAGAAUGAGCUUCCAUGGAUGUUCUGGGUAAGCUCUAGUUGCCAAUAUUCUUGUUGGUUUCUCGUUGUGCUAGAAUGUUCAUGUUGAUCCUUUUAACGGGUUUGAUUUUAGUUAUUGAUCAGCUGAUUUUGCCAUUUUUAUCUGCGUUGUUCCCAUUUGAUAGGGACGGGCCAUAGAAUAAAAAGAGUUAGAGCAGACAAAGGCGCAAUGUAUUUCUUCGGCUUGUCCAAGGAAGAAGUGUUGUCACAGAAACAUGUUGUAUCAUAUAAAGAGACUUUUAAGAAGAACCCAAUCAAUAUGGUCACUCUGUUUGGGAAACAGGUAAAAGAUUAAAGCUUAUUCAGAUUCUAAUUUAGUCCAACUUGUGAACCUUUUGUUCCUUUCCCAUGUUUGUUGUUAGAAUAGAUUGUUCAUCAGAUUAUCAUCUCAGGUGUAUCCAGUGAAAAGCGAGAGCGGCACCAAGUCCGGUGAUGGAUAUACGACUAUAAACUCCCCUAAGCUGCUAGUGAAAGAUAUCAAUCUUCAGCUUCCUGCAGAUCACUACUACGCUUAUAAGAACUUUCCUGAGACACUUGGUUCUGGCAAAGUUGGUGCUUCCCGAAAUACCGUAGACUUGGGAUUUCAUUCAGUGUUUGAAGCUAACAAGGCUAAAGAAGCACCAGCCACUAAUUGGAGUGGCAAGAGAAACCCAAAUAUAGUUAUUGAUCUUGAAGAACCUCCCACAACAGAGCAAGCAGAUUCUGUUAGCUAUGUUACCGUGAGAGACUGUGAAACAAAGCCGUCGUUCUUGACUGAUCGGAUCAGCUCAGAUAUAGUGAAGGCCGAUCAAUCUCUCGUUGAGAAUAAUAGUAACAAAGCAACUAAUAUGGAGUCAGGUUUAUUUGAUCUUAACAGUAUCCCGGCUGAUGAGCUUGUUUCCGAGCGUCAUUACUGUUUCUUGCAAGAUCUGAACUGUCCGUACAUCGAAGAGACAGAAACGAGCUGUGAGAAGAGCGGAAUAGAUGAUGGUCCUACGCCACUUUCCUCUCCUAAAUGCCAAAACAUCCAUGAAAAAGAAGGUACAGCAUCUCCAGCUUCAUAUACUUCUUGCUGCACCACGGAAAACAACUCGAGGACCGAGUCAAGAAGAGGUUCCUCUCCAAGAGCACUGGAUCCUUCUUGCCGUACCCGGCUUGAGUUUCCUGCCACGGAAGUCUUACCGGAGAACAGAUGUUGUAACGAGGAAGAAGAGUUCUCUGAGAUUAUUCAGAUGGCAGCUGAAUCAUUAGUCCACAUAUCAGCGGUUUCGUAUCAAAAUCAAGACUUGCAAUCAAAGCCCGUUUCAAGAACCAACAGCUCAUCUCAAGAUCAAGACUUUCCAGAUAAACCAGAGAUGGGUAACGCCGCGGAGCCGAGAUGUUGCUCCUGCGAUUCAUAUGAGCUACACACAUUAGGAAUAAGCGAAACCAACACCGAAGAAGACUUCUGUGUCUCAUCAAUGGCUCUGGAUGAGCUUAAUAACAUCACGAGAGAUAACAACAAAGAGAUUGGACUCAAGCUUAGAAGAGGGAGGAGAAUGAAAAACUUCCAGAAAGAGAUACUCCCGAGCUUAAGUUCACUCUCUAGGCACGAGAUCCGCGAAGACCUUAAUAUCUUAGAAGCGGUUUUGAGAUCUAGAGAGUACAAGAAGAUGCAGGGGAAGACGAAAGAUGUCAAAUUCGGAGCAAACCCGAGAAAUAAACGUUCAGCGUCACAGAGGUAUGUUGGUAAAGGAAGGCGGAAAAAUGAAUGAUUUUUUAAUAUCUUCCUCUGUUUCGGAUUUUUUCACACAAAUCCUUCAUUAUGUAAUCUUUAACAGUCUUAUGUUGUUCAAUUCUUUCUUUUCUUUUUUGACUUUUGACAUUGAUUAUGGUUAGAGGACAAAGGUAGUGAGCCGAUGACUUCAGUUUCUCAUUCUCUUCUCUCUCAGAAUGUUACUUAAGUUGCUACUGAUUUGUUUGGGGGAUAAACUGAAAUGUGUUCUCUGAUGUCGGAAUCUUGGAACCUAUACAGUUCGUAAUCCAACAUCAUUACAUCAACUGAUCAUUCAUGGGCCGUGGCCCAUUUCGAUUUAGAUGCCUAAAAUUAUCGUUAUGGACUUCCCAUCUUCACAUCAAUGUUGAUUAGUCUCUGUUUGAGUUUCCAAGUUAGUUAAAUGUUGUAACCGACCGUGUUGAAUCGGUUCUGCCACUUUGGGUUUAAAAUUUUCUUAGCAUGUCUUCAUGUAUAAUUUUGUGUGCUGUGAGCGACUCAUUUUUUUCUUCCACAAAAUUACAUAAUAGUGUUACCUGUUAAUUCAUCGCGUUUUAUCGCAAAAGGAACCCAAUAAAAAUAUAUUAUUGUGUUCAUAUAUUCAGGUCUAUUUGUGAAAGCAGGAGAUAUAAAGGUUAAAAAAAAUAACCUGGAAAUAUAUUAACGAACCAACAUGAAAACAGAUAAAUAAAAAUGAAAAUAGAUGCCAAAAGAGGAAUCUACUCGUUAAUAAUUGAGUUCAUUACAGACCAAUUAAAAGAUAACCUCUUAAAUAGAAAAAGUUUCCUUUCCUGUCUUUUCUAAGAAAGACACAUUUAAAUUGAACUACGGUUCUUUAGACCAAAAGUUCAUGAUUACUGGUCCGUGAUUGGGUCAUGUAAUUUCCAGAUCCAAAAGUCUAACAUUAUUGCUUUUUGCCAAUCAUUACAUAAAUCAUAUGUUAUAAUAAUAAUAUAUCGCAGAAUAGGAAUAUAUGUUGAACAUAUUUCUUAAUUUGUUUUCAGAAUUAAGACGUAAAACUUCUAUAAAUUAAUAAUAUCGAGACCGUGUUAUUUUAUUAAUUUAUUAUAAUAUUAAUUUAUCAAUAAAUUAAUAAAAUUUAUAGAAAAAAUUGUUUUUUCUUCUAUUUUCUUCUUAAAAUUUAUUUUAAUUGAUAUUAAAUUUAAGAAUUUAAACUUAUAUGCUUACAAAAUAACAUGCACAAACUUAAAUUAUGAUUACUAAUCAUAGCAAUUGCAAUAGGAUAGUUAUUUCUAUUUGUUAAUUGUAAGCUGAAUUAUCUAUGUAAGAAUAUAAAUAUUCAUUAGUACAAAAUUAAUAAAAAUUAUGGUUAGUAUCCUUAAUAUUUAUAUUAAAAUUGAAGACAAUAACAUAUUAUAUUUUGAAACAGUUAUACAUAAGAAAAUCAACUAUCACAUCUAAAUUUUUUUCACAAAUUUUGAAUAAAGAUAAAAAAAAAUAACAUUAAAAGCUAUUAAUGUAAAUAAGUAAAGAUAUGCUUUUUAAUAAAAUUUCAAACCUUAAAUAAUAACAAACAACAAAUUAAUCAUAUUUUAGUAUAUUGUAUCUUAUAUAUAUAUAUAUACAAAAUUUAUAUAAUUAUUAAUUUAUGUUUAUGUUGGGACCAUAGAUUUACAUAGGAGUUUCAAACAAAUUAUUAUCUUAUUUCUUAUCGAAUUUGAUGAAUUUUUACAUUGACCCGACUCAGGACCUGAAAAUUUAUUAAUUUAUAGUGAUUAUUAAUUUAUCGAGUAUUAAUUUAUAGAGGUUCUACUGUAUACCGCAGCCAAUUGAUAUUUGCUUUGGACCUUUUGGUAAUGCGAAUUUUGGGUCAAACCAAUCUUAUUGACUCGGAUAAUAUUAACAAGAAAAAGAAGAAAAAAUAUAUGUCAAAAGAGAUUAUAAAAAAUGAUCUGAAUAAAGUAGAUAUCUCAUAUUCUAUACUAUAGAUACACGGAAUGAGAAAAGAAAAGGUUAUUUGUAAUUUUUUGACCUAACUAAAAACUAUAAAAUGAAACUAGUUGAGCUAAUUAUGUUAGAAUAGAUAGAUUAUACCUCUCACGACCUAUAGACUUUAUUUUAGCUCAAUUUAAAACAGCGGAUUUUGAAAGAAAUAUCAGAAGCAUAUCGUUAAAUUAUUAUAUUUUAGUUCAGAAAUCGAUGGGGUUUGAUUAAUGUCCAUAUGCAGGAAUGGAUAUAUAAUUGAUCUAUAUAGUGUCCAUGCCCGGAGUUAUCAUAUAUGUCCAAAGUCAGAAUUUAAAGCUACAUGAUUGGGGUUGAGAGGGCCAGAGGAGGGGGGGGGGAUAUUUGAAAAUUUAUAAUAUUAAAUUGAUCAUUUUGUAUCUGAAAACUAGAUAAGAGUUGGGAGACAACAGUUAGACAAACAAACGUGCACUGAACAUUCCUUACUGUUUUAUAUCGCAAGCAUAUUAGAGAAAUUGCUAAACAGAACUCCAUACAUUUAGCUCAUCUUCUAUAACUUUAGUACAAAUGCAUGAAUGGUUUAUCUUUUAGGGACAUCAAAUUCAAACCCCAGUUCAAUUGCAAAACAAAUUCAUUAAUAAUAACGGAAUUUAAUCUGUCUAGCUCAUCACAAAAAUAAACUGAUAAAACAAGAAAAGAAAAGAGAGAUAUUGAUUUUUGAUAUUUUUAGGCGAUGUUAGGGGAAAAAUCUAGUUAUUGAAUGAAAAUGGUUUUUUUAUUCCCUCUGUUUCAUAAUAAGUGUCAUUUUGACACAUUUCACAUAGAUUAAGAAAUUAAUAAAAUAUAUAAAUAUACCCCUAAUUAAUAUACUUUUAUAACAUUUAAUUACAAAGACUAUUAUCUUUAAAUGAGGGGUAAAACAGGAAAUAAGAGUAAAAAGUUACAUUGAAAAUGCAGAAUGACACUUUUUUUAAAAAAAAAAUGAAAUCUAUGAAAUAGAGGGAGUAAAAAAAAUUUGCUAUAAAUGCUUACUCUUUAUUAAAGAAAAUAUAAUUUUACUUCUUUUUUUGCUCUAAAAACAUUAAAAUAAUAUCUGUAAAAAACAUAGCUCGUACUAUUAUGUUGCAUAUGAAUAAAUUGAAUUAUACAUAUGUCGAAAAAAUAAUUAUUACAAUACUGUAUUUAUCUCGAUCUCUUCGCAUAACACGUUGUGAUCGUAUGGGACACCGAUGAUUCUUCAUCCAAUCAGGCAUCAGCACAUAGUUAAUUCAAAUUAGCUAGUGUGAUCUUAUGGGACAUGAUUUUUUUUUGUUUACAACUAAUGAUCAUUUUAUUAUAUUUGGAUUAUAGUUCCCUAAUAAUUCAAUCACUUGACAAAUAGUAACUGGGGGACCAUUCGAUCCUACAGAUCCUCAGAAUCAGGUCAUUAAUAUAAUUAUACGAAAAAAAUAAUAACUUGAAAUAUUCUGUUUUCGUAAUAUGGAAAAUUUAGACAAAAAGACGUCAACUGCGUUGAUUAAAUCGUAGAAUUUUUACAAUUUCUGCUUGUAUACAGACCCAAAUGAGGAAACUUUAACCUUUAUCCCUUAUCGGUCGGUCCAUUAUUUGUCGACUCGGAAACAAGAGGAAGAGGUAACUGAGAAAAUCAUCAGAAAAUAUACCACAAAAUUCAAAAUCAAAUUCAUACAUAUCCACAUAGACACAGUAUUCAUCAUCAUCAUCAUGAUCAUGCAUGACCCAUGGGAAUAUCCAGCUCAUCAUCCAACUCAAUCCCGACCUCAGCUAGUCUCUUGUCCUUGUAAACGUACCACUUGGAGAAAACGAGGAAAAUGAGGAAGUUCAAGGCAACAAGUACGGCCACAAGCCAAUAGAAAUUGUAAAGACGGCCCUUGUUGAGAUCGUUUGCGAUCCACGGAUGAGUUUUCCCGGUGAAUUUCUCCACGAUCGUCACGAGAACCGAGCUGAAGAAAAACCCUAACGCCAAUGUGCUUAACAACAAACCCGUGCUCAUCGUUUUCAUACCUUUAGGACACUCUCUCAAGAAGAAAUCCAACUGUCCUGUGUAGAUCAACGCCUCCCCUAUACCAACAAUAAGGUAUUGUGGGAUGAGUAGAUAAAACCCUAGAGGAAGCGUUUUCACCGUUGGACCAUGUGAAUGUGCGGUUCUAAGACGUUUGAUCUCUACCAAAGCAGCCACAGCCAUAGCCAUGGAUGCGAAUACGAGCCCUAAACCAAUGCGUUGAAGUGGUCUUAGACCUUGAGGGUAGUUGAAUAGCUUUUUGCAUAGGGGAAUAGCGACGCGGUCGUAGAGGGCGGUGGUUAGGAGGAGGCCACCGACAUAGAAGACGGCCAUUGCGGCUGGAGGGAUCUCAAAGCUCCCGAUGUGACGGUCCAUAGUCUCAGAUUGCGCAACCGAUAAUGUCGUUAAUUGAGCAUGGACGGUCCAAAAGAGGAUGCAUGUUGCCCAAAUUGGUAACAUCCGUACGAUUUGUUUCACUUCCUCAACAUCGGUUAGUGUUGAAAGUGUCCAUUUGUUGAAUACGUUUUGGGUCAUUGCCGUUUCUUGGUCCUUUAUUGCUGCCUUAUCCAACGAACUGCAGCAUCAGAAAUGAUAUCAGGAAUAAUUAGAAUAUAUUAAAGUUAACCAGUUAACAAACAAAAUGUAGAUUAUUAAUAUGGAAGAAAAAGUCUUUUUUUUUUUUUAUCAAAGAUAGGUCUAGUUCAAUAUCUUUUGUGUGUUUCUUACAAAGAGUUGGCUUGUUGAAAUUGAAAUAGAUACAUAUGUGAAAUGUCCCUAGUUAUUAACAUAUCCUCUUUUUGGAAUGUAGCCUAAGCAUCGAAUCAACGUGAUGUGGAGAUAAAACAAAAACAAAAAAACAAAAAGAAAAAGAAAAACAUGAUGUGGAGAUAGUUACGUGGAAUCAUUCAAGAUGAUAUACCCUUUACACAUGGCAAGAAACAGGGGGAAAGGUAUAAAAAGUGAAAGUUAUUUCAAUAGUCUCCUGACUCCCAUUAACGUAGAAAUAACCAAAAAGGCCAAAAAUAGACAAAUUGAAUGACGCAAGGAUCACGCAAAACACGUGCCGUGCAUGUGACAGUAGGGCUCUUUAGCCUAAUUUUGGGUCUGGCCCGGUGGAGGUGUAAAGUAGUGUAGGUGUUAAUACACGAAACAAUAUCGUUUCACAAUACGUCAACACAACUGUCUUCCUAUUUUUUUAGUAAUAUAUAGAGAUGGUAAAUAGUCUUUUUAUAAAUCUGGAAUUAUAAAAGUAAUUUGAUUCCUUUGGAUUCUUCAUUCUUGUGUGUCUAUUUAGGCAUGCAUAGGGAUCGAUGCACAGAAGAUACUGUACUUAAGGUUGGGAAUAAAAAAGAGAAGAUAUUGUACUUAGGGGGGGGGGGAGAAAAUUUCACGAGUCAGGUGUAUAUAUAUUUAAGUUAUUAAAUUCAGGCGAAUCUGUUGAUUAAUAAUAAUAAUAAUUAUAAUAUAAUAAAGUGAACCUUUUUGAAAUAUCGGAAACAUUUGAUUUACCGCAACUUGUGGCUAAAGCUACUCUCUUUUUGUAAAAACCAAAUAAUCCAACAGAGGGUGUAAAAUUUUCUAAGAUUUUUCAUUUACAUAGGUAAAAACUAAAGAUGGAAUACAGUAUUACCAACUUGCAUAUUCCUAACUAUCUAUAUUUAUUUUAAUCUGACUAUAUCAAAUCUUUCGGAGUAACUUCUCUUCUAUUUUUUUGGUUUAAGAGUAAAUUCUCUUCCUUUCUUACAUAUUUAUGUGUAUAUUGAACUUGACGUGCUAGCUAACGUAAGAACACACACACAUAUACAACUAUAAGAAGAAAAAAAAACCAAAAAUAUUGUAAUUAGCUGUAGAGUUUACAUCCUGGACCAGUUUCGUUGUAUGGUCGAGUAAUAAAAAUAAUAUAAUUAUUAUGAUAGUAAUGUUUUUUUCUCAUAACAAGAGAGACAAAGGAAAUUAUUCGACUCCCUUUAGUUGGCUUCUAAUGCCAAGUAGGCAUAUAAUGAAAAUAUCUGUGGUCCCCCUAUAAUUAAAGGACGCGAGCCUUUUGAGUUAUACAUCCCAUUCCCAGUUUCCCACCCACACAGCCCAACUUUUAAUUUUACAUUUCUCAAGAUUAUUAAUACUAUCUCGCAUUCAAUUAACCCUACACCUCAAUUAUUUUGAAAUUAACCAUUUUAUAUAAUAUUAAAUUGUCAAUUUUUAAAACAGUAUUUUAAGCUUCAUGAAUCGUACGUGGGAUUUGUUUCUCGUAGUAAUCUGUUUAAAUUUUAAUGAAAAAAUAAGAGUUAACUAGUGAAUAGAAAUCGUACCGGAAUUGUUUGGUAUGCGGCAGCUUUUGUUUACUCUUCAUCGAACCUUCCGCCGCAAUAACAUCGUCCAAGUCGUAGAGAUACGACGGAUCCGCCGGCAACUCAAGCCGUCUAUUCCUCCACGCCGCCACAAUAACCGCAGCAACUUGCGUCAUCGGGCUACCGAUCAACUUCUUGAAACGGUAGCGAUUUGUACCGGCCAAGAAAACGCUUAGUGCAAGCACGAUUGAAAACGCGCAAAGGCCAUAUCCCCAUUUACGUCCAACAUCGUCUUGUAUGUAGACAAGGACCGUCACGGCACAAAGAGAGCCAACGUUGAUGCAAAAGAAGAAACGGUUGAAGAAAUAUGUCAUUUGUGACCGUUCUUUCGGUUCGGUCUCAUCGAAUUGGUCAGAUCCAAAACCGGAGACGCUUGCCUUCACGCCUCCGGUUCCUAGAGCGGUGAGGUAUAAGGCUAGGUAUAGGACCGUCAGCUGUAUUCCACUCGCUUGCACGCAAUGAGACGACGUCGUUGGGUUGCAUCUUGGUGGUCUAAGUCCCGGUAUGAUCGUUGAGAGAGUUAAGAUCGAAACACCCUAUAAUAAUCAUGGUCAUUACAUAAAUAUUUAUUUUUCGGAAAAAUAAAACAAAAAUAAAAACUUAUGUCGUUUACUAUUUUGAUCGUCUAGUCAACAUUUAUAAUUUUUUCAUUUUCUUGGCUAUAAUUUAUGGUAAGACGAAAGGGACUUGUAAGGUCCUUACCGUUGCUUGGAUUGCGGCGAAUAUAGCAAUCGUUAGGUACCUAUAUGAAAAAAAAAUUAACUAACUCAAUUAAAAUGAGUAAGAAAAUGAAACGAUUUUCUUUAAAUUAUACAGGUAUAUAGUGAAUUUCUAUAACAAAUAUUAAACACAAACCUGCCGAGAAAGGUGUCAGCGAUGAAGCCACCGAGGAGACAGAGCAUGAAAGAAGUUCCAAGGAAGUUGGUAACGGUAUUCGCCGCGGUUGCAUUGCCUAAAUGCAUAGUUCCGGUCAAAUACGUCACUAGAUUAACGCCGAUGCCUAACGUCGUCAGCCUCUCCACCGCCUCAAUACCUUCACAUAGUUAUUAAAAUAAAAGUUAGAUACCUUAGGGAAAAUGGAAAAUACAAAUCAUACACAAAAAGAGAAUAACUCAACCCCAUUUUAAAUGAACUUAUAAUUUAUUAAACGGCAUGAAUGUUCAGGUAUUUUUUUUGAAGAAUAUGUUCAAUUUAAUUUUCCUCUGCAUAUUAAUUUGUCGAUGGAUUUUUCUCCAGAACUUUAAUAAUGUGAUGAAACUUACAGAGAAUCAUGGCAGCACUAGCCCAUCCGCCGGUUUUGAAGCGGUCGGCGGGGCGGCCUUGGAAGUCCCAAGCAUCUAGAAGGGUUUGAGAUUUAGUUUCAGGAAGAGACAUAUCUUGAAGAUGGAUGAAAGAUUUCUUUUGCAGUUUCUUUUUUGGGUUUUUUGUUCUUCUGGGGACACUGGUUGUUUCGUAAAUCACAAGCAAAGAAAAAAGGCUGUUUUGUUUGAGAGCUUUUGGUUUUCUUUUGUGAUAUCAAAUGUGUACAUCCUUGGAGUCUUGGUACACCUAUUUAUACUGGGAAACUUGCUCAGACAGAAAGUUUUAAUUUAUUUGAUUUAUAGUUCUUUAUACAUAGAAAUUAAAAGAUGAAGAAAAAAGUGACAGAUGUGUGACUCUGAUGAGUGUUGCUUGAUUGGUGAAAUAAUUAUAAAAAUAGAAUAUAUAUAUAUAUAUAUAUAGAAAGAGAAGAGAGAGAGAGAGAGAGAGAGAGAGAGAUAGAGCGACCAAAGCUAAAUAUUACCACUUCCUCUGACUUUGGAACUGUGAGUUUGAACUUUAGAUUUAAAAGUAAUUGGUCAUUUUGUCAGUGAUGACUCGAUGGCAUCAAACGCAUCAAUUUAACCCACCAUCAUGAGCUAUUAUUAUGUUUCCCUGGAAAAUAAUUCAACAUAAUUGAUUGAGGCAUUACAAUGCAUUUUCGUUAUUGUCGACGCAAGGCUAUUUUUUUCUUCUUCAUCCUUUUUGUUUAUCGUUUGCUUAGAUAUCGAGCUCUACUUGUAGGCCCAUUUUGUUGUUCCAUAGCACAUAACAAACAUUUAUUUUUCGGGAACCUUAAAAAAAUCUUUUUAGAUCUUGGAUUUUUUUCUUCUUUAAAAAAUUAGAAUAUUAUAUUAUGGUUUUACAUUUUUUAAUUAUUUUUUAUUUUUAUAAUUUUGGUAGUAGAGUUUACCAAUGAAUCAUACUGGAUACUAAAGAGUAAAGCGUAGUUAAAAAUUCAUAUAAAAAUAUACAUGCAUUGCAUUCCAGAGUAUAAGAUUACUAUAUAUUUUCUAUCUGUUGUUUUGUUUAAAACAUCAUUUUAUUGAAAAUCUUCUUUGGUUGUUCUAAAUAGAGAGUCGUGUGCAAGUUUUUUUCACUUUCACAUGUAAAUACUAAAUACACUCUAAUCCAAAUAUCAACAAAAAUGGCAUGCAAAGAACUUUCGUAAAACAUUUCUACAUCUCAAAUUAUAACUUUUUCAAAUACCAUUUGAGAAUACUAUUAAAUCGUACGAAAAAUCUAUCAAAUCACACACGCAUAUAUAUAUAUAUAUAUAAUAUAUAUAAAGGAAAGUCAACAAAAGUUAACUUAGGUAUUUGUUACAAAAUUGAAUCUAGAGAUUUGUAGAUUUGGUAUGAUUACAUUAAUGAACCAACUUUCUUCUUUUGUGUUAAUGGGAAAGUCUAGCUUGAAAAUUAACGGCUCAAAAUGUAUGCUUCUUAGACGCCACUAAAAUGAGUCAUGCUGGAAUAGGAUUAUGAUCUUACUUUUCAUUUAAUGAUAAUUAAAAUGAAAUAUUUUUUAAUCUAAAGUGUCUUAUAAUAGUCACAUGACUUUCAUGAACUACAUAGUUUUGGUUCUUUUAAUUUGUAGCCUUGCAAUUUCAAUGGUUCUCUUUCUAUCUUGAGAGAAUAGGAGUAUAAAGAAGAAGAAACAACGGAGUUUUCACAUCUUAAAAUGACACAUAUUUUAGAACCAAAAAAUAAAAUAAUUAAAUCAUCUAAAAAUUUGUAAGAGAAAGUAUGUUACCUAGUUUAGUGGAUCAGUCGGAUCGAAGUCUCAAAAAUGAAAACAAGUCAAUCUUCAUGAAAAUACAAGAAACUAUACGAAUAAUACUUAAAACAUACUUUUUGAAUUAGUUUAUAAAACUGAUUAAUGAAUUUAUAUCAUUUCAUAUGAAAAUUUAGAAAAUUUAGAGUAACCUCCUUCUCAUGACAUCUCUUUCCAAAUGAUCAAAUCGAUGAGAUACUGAAAUUUCGAACCCGAAAAAAAAACUCUUUAUUUAUCGUUGGUAGUUUCAUAAAAUUGCUAUAUUUACGGUAAUAUCCUCGACAAUCGAUUAUGUGUACACACAUCCAAAGAUUGCGGAAGAGCGAACAAAGGUGACAACGAGGAGUCUCAUCCAAAAAGAAGAGGAGAACGAGUGGCAAACCUAAAUUUAUUUUAAUAAAGAGAAAUACAUUACUACUCGUAUAAGAUAAUCCCUAAAUUCAAAAAGGGAAAAUAAAGAUGAAAAUGGAUGGAUCAUAAUUUUUGGGCGGAGCUAGCUUUAUUUUGCUUAUACGUAUAUUUCAGAGUAUCAGCAAUGGUGAUAUUUAGCCCAUUUUGCAUCGAUGUUUAACCAAAAAAAAAAUGAAAAAAGUAAUUAAAAUGAAGAAGCGAUGCUUAUUUGAGACCCAUAAGCGUUUAUUGAAUUUAAUAAUAUUUAAUAGUUAAGCAUCCCAAAAUCAGUUGCUCCAUUGCUGAUUUUAUUGGCACGUGAGAGUAGUGGGACUGGGACCACCAGAGAAUCUCCCCUCUCCCGCAGCGUUGACUCGGUCAUUUCAAGAAGAUGAAUCCAUAUAACACGAACAACCAUAACUUUUGCUUAGUUUUACUUGUCACGAUAAAUGAUUCAAAAAAUCAUUUAUGUACUGCAUAGUUACUAUAUUAAUUAUCGAUUUUUCAAAUCAAUUUUAUAUUUUAUUCGGAUUACUUCAAAAAAUCGAAACAAUCGAAGAAAGUAAAAUUAUCAAUUUUUUUUUUAAUUUCUAUAUUAAUAGAGACAAUUCAUAACAGAUGUAUAACUCAGUAUACAGGAGAAGGAUGAAUCUUUUUUAGAAUUGAACAAACAAAAUGUAACAAAAUGGCGAUACACAGUGCAUGUAAACCUUUUUUGAUGUUAUUAGAAAACAAAAAACCAUUAAAAAUAUUUUCAAUUUAGAUAAGAUAAUAUACUUUAUUCUAACUGUGGAAACUAAUAUAUUUUAAAAAUGAUAAUUUAAUUUGUGGUUUUCGGUUUUAAAUUUUCUUUAUAUUUAAAAUAACUCAAUGUCAUAUAUUUAAAAUAACUCAAUUAACUAAAGUUGUUUAUUUGUAUAACUAUUAUGUGAUGUGUUCUCAGUUUUAGGUUCAUAAUCUCUUUUGGUUCUAAAAUAACUUUUGAUAUUACUGCUAAAGAAGUAAAUCAUUUUUCUUUAGGAAAAAGACGUAGAUUUGGAAGAAAAAGACUCAAAUUUUUCCAAAAUGAAUCGUUGUUCACAAAGUGAAGUAUCGUUUCUGAAUACAGAUGUGUGGAUUCGCAAAUUACCAACACUUUUUAUUCGAACCUGCAACUUCGAGGGUAAAGUUAAAUAAGGUUCUUAUUUUGAGUUGGUACAAAAAAAAUUGUGAACUUGACAGAUUCAAUUAAAUUAAGCUGUAGGGUUUGAUGUGUAAGUGUAACAUUGACUAACUUAAUAAUUUAAUAAUAACUAUAUGAUAUUUAUAUUCCAGCAGGUGACGAGGGAAGAAGAAAAUACAGAUUCAAUUUUUUAGACGGAUUGAUUGAAUCAUGAAGAAAAGAGUAUCGAAUUAUAUAAUGAAUUGGACAUGAAUCCUUCGGAGGAUCCCAAAGGCCAUGGUUGACCAAACAUUGGAAUGACAACUUGUUCAAUAAUAGAAUGUUAAACAAUAUAGUAAAUAUAUAUUUGUUUUCUUCUUAUCAUACAGAGGAUUAUGUUAGAAUUAUCGGUUUGGGCGUCUUGAUUUCAUCAGUAUGAAAUUAGUUAACAACGUGUUUAGGAGAAACAUCAAAUUGGAUGGAAAUGAAAACAUCCACUUGUCACAAAACGGUGAAACAAUACUAAUCUUAUCUGCCUGACGUCAAAUUUUUUUUUGCUUUUAUAGAUAAAUCAUUACUUUUGUUUUUCAAUAAGUCCAACUCUAGAAGGCGAGAAAUCGAAUUAAUCAAGCAUUUCGAACGAUGUGAUUUGAGUAAAAAGAAACUUAAUUAUAUAGAUAAUAAGAUAAACAAAACAUUAUGAUUGAAAUUUUUAACCAACAACCUCCCCCACUAAAUCAUUGUAGACAUUUGCAUAUAUAUACAAACGAAAUUCACAAUAGUUUCACGGGCAGUUGUGAAAGUGAUUUUAACCAGGUUGGCGUAAGGAUUUUAAGAGAUUCUACUGCAAAAAAUUGCAUAUAUAUUUUAUUUUGAGAACUUUACAAAUUUGUUUACACAAUUAAAAUGAAAACAUUUGUCGUGCCUUUGCAAACCACAAGUCAACUCAAAUCUCACAAUUAUAAUUGACAAUUUAUCUAACUAGUAAAUUUAAUAAUUAAUUACAUUUGAAGUAUUGAAAUAGCUCACCUGUGGUCUACCAAUCACGAAGAUAGUAUCGGUUUCAAAAUCCAAUAUAAUAAUAUCAUGAUCAGUAACCUAGAGCGAUACAAGGUUUUUAGGUUAUUAGAAAGAAUUGUAAAUGGUUAUAAAAUAGUUAAAAGAUGUAAGUCAUACUUUUAAUAUAUAAAAAAAACAAUAUAAAAAGUUGAAUGUAACACUUUUGAUAACAUUUUGAGUACUGUUUUUGUGAUUGGAACUUUUAAAGUUAUAUAUACCUUGUAUCACACCGUAGAAGGUUACUAAUCAAAUUCAUUGCACUCAUCCGAUUAAAGUAACCACAGUUGAGUUAUUCAAUAACUUGGGUGUCUCUGGUCGGACUCAAUAUUUAAAACGAAGAAAUAUAUAACUAACUCAUCAUUAACUAGAUGAUGACCGAUGGGCGGCACAAGCAAAUAUUAAAAAGGUCAAAUCCUAUAUAACGAAAAAUUUGAUUAUUUUUUUUGGACUUUUGGUGACAAAACCGUAAAACCAUUGACAAAAGAGUAGAAGAGGAGCUGUCACAUUUACUGAGGUUCGAUAUAAAUGCUUACAGUCCUUUGAGUUUGCGGAAAAAAAUUUUUUUGUGAAGAUCAUUGAGUGAUUAUAUGACAUAUCUAUGUUUUGUAAAAACGGCUAAAAUAAAAGUUUGUCCGGACCGGAUAAAUCCACUAAAUUAACAAUUGUAUAUGGUUUGAGUAACUUAGGAAUUUGUUUACUAUGUAACUUAGGAAUAGUUGAUGAACCUUAGAAAAAUCUGUUUGUAGUGUUUCUACUCCGCAGAAUUUCGUGAAUAUGGUAUCCGAUCCGUUUUCAUGUUCACAUUCGAAUAUUGCAACGGUUUGUUGAAACCUAGUGAACACGCAAUUGUACAUAUCAAAACUAGUGAACACAUAUAUGGCUAUGCAUAUAUAUAUGUACAAAGUUGCAUUCAUCAAUCACGGUAAAGUCCCAACUUAUUUUUGCAAACGGGAUAAAAAGGAAUAUGGUAUCUGUUUUCAAGUUUUAAUCACGACAUUUGUAUAUAUUUAUAAAAUAUAUGAAAGGCAAACUAUAAGAUAAAGAAAUAGUACGAGCAGAUAACGUGAAGAGGGGAAUCGAAAGUGAAAGAUGCCUUACAUCACUGCAAAAUAAAAAUGAUAUUGGUAAGUACGUCGUGCUUUUUGGAAAUGAACCAAACAAUUCAUAACGUGGGCUUUUUGAUGCUCUCAAAAGACAUAUAAUUACUAAUUAUAAUUGUACCUAAUGUUAGUUAAGCAAAGGCAACUUAUAAUUAGUCGGGGUCGUUUCACUCGUUUGUAUAAACGUUUACAAUGUCCUAAAACGAAACAAAACAAAUUUGUCAUUUUUGGAAAUGAAAUUUCGAUCUCUUAAUAGACAUAUAUACAGAAGAUUUCUAAUAUUUCAACAACAUUUCAGUUUUUUUUUUGUUUUGUUAAAAAGUCUUCAUUCAACAACAUUUCAGUUUCUCUAACUUAAUUCAUAUGUUAGCAUAUAUAAGAUUGAAAUAGCAGUUUAAAUGUGAUAGUUUAUUAGAAGUUUUUGCUUUUCGAUAAGCUAUAAGAAGUAAGAACAUGAAUAAGUUAUUAUUGAUGUCGACAUGGUCACAUGACUCACAUUACAGGAUUUAAAAUUCGGUAAUGCCACUCCGAAUGGUUGACUUAAUAAUAAUAAGAAAUAUGUUUUUGUGUGCUUCUUUACAAUAAUUAUGAUGAAGCUGAUGAAAUUAUUUUGGCCUCCAAAUGGAGUUUUUGAGUUUCCUAUUUCGUAUAAGGUGAAGUAGAGUCGAUCGGCCUAAAAUCACGUACAGAUUUCUAAGAAAAAUGGAAUUAAGAAAAAAAAAACAUUCUAAAAUCUACAGGCAUUCUGGCAUUAUUCCAGCUAUAUAUUGGUAAUUAACGGUAUGUCUAGUCUCUUAUUAAUGUGUUAUAAAAUAUAAUUAUAUUAUAAAUAUAAUAUUGUUAUGAUUUUCUUUUUAUCUUGAAUUUGGAAACUAGUAGUAUAGAAAAUGUAUUAGACUGGUGAAAUUUGAAGUUUUUCUUAUAAGAUCAUCUGAUUUAUGGACGGACAAAAUGCCUUAAUUUUGGGGCUGCUUAUGAAAAAAGGUAAGCAAAUGACACCUUAACUGGUAUAGAAGAUUCUCUAUUGGUGUCCAGAUAUCACCAGGCAGGAAACUGCCAAAAGAGAUCCUUUUGAACUUUUUAUUGUUUAAAUUUUUAAAAGUUAGAUCUUACAGAUUCUUACCCUCUUCAAAACUAAUUAUUGCCUAUGUUGUGACUAUGCAAAGCUUAUACAUACAUGUUUUUUUUUGGUGAGAAAAUUAGCUAACUAGGCAAACUAUUCUGUCUCUCCUCAAUUUGAAAGUAUUUUUCCAAAAUAAUACAUCAGCAUUAAGAAUUACAUACUGUAAAAGAGAUGAUAUCUAAAUAGGCGAAAUAUAAAAGACGACUAACAAUAGAUUAUUUAUUUCGUUGUCAAAUAUUUUUGAAAUUAAAUAUCAUAAAGGUUCACUAAUUAGAUGGAAGGAUGCUUUCGCUUUGCUGUUCAAAAAUAGAAACAUGCUUAUGCUUUAAAGCAUGCAGUUAAACGAAAAUGUGUCCAUAUAAACCAACCUACACAACUUAGUGGUUGAGAAGCUACUAAUUGAUCAAGGUCGCGAACUCACGACUUUUAGAUACUGUUAUUUUGUAUGUUGGUUAUAUUAUUUAUAGACGUUUAAUUAUUUUUAAGCUGCCCAACCUAUACUUUUAAGUGGAACUGAAUUUCUACAAAUUUUGUAACUGGUUGUUUUUUUAAAAAGAAUUUAGCUGUAUGAAUAGUUAUAUCUUAAAUAUUUUGAGACUGAUAUAUUUGUUACUCAAAAUCUCUGCGUUAGAUGUGACUUAUAGCCCACGUCAAAAAGUGAGACAUGGACUUGCUUGCAAUGAAGUUUCCACGUCGUGGGUAUUUGAAAAAAUUAUUUUUCCCUUUUUUUCUUAAGGUUUAUGUUGCUAAAAACAUAUUACAGAAUUUGAUGGAUCAUAUUGUCUCGUCUUGGUUAUAGUUUAUCGAUAUAUACAAACACAAAUACCUGCAUUCGUAUAUAUACAUAAAAACAAGAAAGUAAAAAACCAUUGACAAUUACUCACAGACUUUUUAAAAUAUAUUUUAAUGUUCACCUUGCAAAUGUAAUUGAAAGACACCCAUGUGCGAAAAAUCAAUGAAAAGUAUUAAGUAUUCACUAACCAAUAAAAGUAGGAGGGAGACUUGUUCAACCUAAAACAUAGGCAAUUUUAGUUUUGCUAAUUUUUUCCAGAAAAGACACCUGAAUAAUGUCAAAUCUUUUCAUGGAAAUCAAGAUCAAGUUGCCCACCCAACUAUUAUCUCCGUUCGUUUCUUUGUUUAUUUGCGAACAUUUUGCUUUUGCAUUCAAAAUUACAAUAUGUUCAUACUUCAUCAAUUUCUUUUUAAUUUUAAACGUUAAUGCAAGUUGAUGGUGAAUUCCUUUUACUUCUAACUUAAACUUACAAUUACACGUCAACAUUUUUAUUUAACCUUCUCUCUCUGUCCUCUCCAUAAUAUAUAGAAUACAAGUAUGAAGUAUACAACUGUUUGAUUAAGUUACACAAAAAAAAACUGUUUUGAGCUUGAAGUAAUCGGGACUUACAAAGUUACCAGUAUAAGUUGUCAGAUUACCUACAAAAAUCCUACGUAGGCGAAAAAGGAACGGCUAGUGAUUUUUCCAAUGAUCAACUUGAAAUUACACAACCCGAGCUUCUCACUUCACAGGAACACAUGCACUCCACUAGCUACCAUAUACUAACUCAGUCAACUUCAUUUGAAUCAUCGAAUGGCAAUAAUAUAACUAUAUUUAGAAAUUACUUGGUUUAGAAAAUAUUUUUGAUCAAAAUGUUGAAUUGUGGAAAAAAUGUACACCUAACCAUUGAACCAAUAUACAAUUAAUAUAUAUAUAUAUAUAUAUAAUGAGUUAAAAGCUUACAAGAUAUUUACAUAGUUAUAUAUGUAUAGUUGUGUAUCAUUUUGUUUAUUAUAUUAUUUCCUGAUUUUAGUAAAAACGUGUAGGAUAUGGUAUCUAGAAAUACGUAUGAUUGUCCAUAUUGAACGUUUACCUUAUUCUUAGCAGAUCUGAAAUGUACACUCUAAUAAUAAAUAAUUUAUUCGAGAAAAUAAUAUAAUAAAGAACAUUAUUUGAACAUUUAACAUUCGGAAACUAUUCACCAUGUAUUAGCGUUGAAAUAAAUCAAAACUGUGAGUCAAAUCUUCAUUGAAAUCCCAAGUUUCCGCGUCGCGCAUCUCCAUUUGCGCUUCGAGGAGUUGUCCAAGAGUCACUAGCUUGAAGCUCACAUUACAUAGACAUUUCAACGUAAUAAAAUUAAUUAAAGUUUCUAUAAAUACAUAAAUAUUUCAAUGCCGUUGAAAUAUUAGCUUCACAAUGACGCUCAAGAAAAUCAAUGUCGUCAAUGAAACAUGAACUUGAUAAAUAUAAAUACAUAUAUUAUUUUUAUUACAUUAUCGUUGGAAUUCAUAUUUAAGAUAUCCUAUGGCAAUGGCAGUUUCUUAAUCUUUUAAUGAAUCAAGUUUAACUCUCGAUCGAGUUUUCGCAUCUCAGAUUUGAUUUGCAGUUUCUGUCAGAAGUUUUGAGUUGUUUUGAUAAAAUUGACUACACGCUCUUAUUGAUGAGCCACAUCAAUCUAGCUGAUACGGUAGUUAACUAUGGGCCCAAUAUUUAUCGAUGGGUCGAAUCUUCGAGUUCUUACGGUGAUUGAAUUUGGGCUUCUUGUUUUUUUGUUCUCGCCAAGUGAAGGUGGAAUCUUGAUUGAAGAUAAUUUAUAAUGAUAGGUAACUAUUCAAAAAUAUAAGGAUUAAAAUAAAAACUACAAACCAGUAAAUGAUAUAAUUUCGAACAUGUGAUCUGCGCACACUUCUCUAGGGUGGAUCGAUACGACGAUACAAACAAAGUAGCUCCUGAAGUCUGUGGAGGACGUCGCGACUCUUUAUCUUCAUCUCUUCACUGUGAUGGCCAGGUUGAAGUUUGCCAUCGAUAUCAUAUUAUGUUCAUUGUUAAGUUCGAGUUGUCUUGUGUUCUGGUGUAGACAUGUAUUGCCCUUCCCCAUUAAAUACAUACAUGUAUAGCCUGUUUGGGGCUCGUAUCUCUUUAUUUCUUAUGCAAUUCAAUAAAAAGUGUUUUAAUAGUCACAUAAUUUUCUUUUAAAAUUUCACUCAUAACGUGGGUUUUCUUCGAAAGUAGUAUGAUCGACACUAUAAAGAAAACAAAGUUGUAAGGUUAGAACUGUAUAGCUAGUCUGUAGAUCUUGGAUUUAUAUGAAUAUGCAAUUUUCUUUUUUUUAAAAAAAAAAAAAUUGAAUUUGCAACUUGCAUUACCACCAUUUUAGGCUUUUAAAAUUUAACUCAACUUUUUAUUUAUCGAUAAAUUCAACAAGGGACCAAGGGGUAAAAGAUCUAGCCAUGCACGUUACGUACAAAUUAUUUUAGUUAUCUUUUACUUCUUUAGGUGGUGGCAUACGCAGAUGGGUCGUGUCACGGGUUCCCAUUUCCUAUUUUUUAUACCAAGUUGCAAUAAUUUUAAUCUCCAUUAUAUACUUUGAUUGUUAAUGUAAAAAGUAUCAUGUAUGCUUCUGCUUUGGACAUACUAAUUCGAUCUCAACAAAAGAGAGAUAAUAUUCGCUAUAAUCUACAAAUAUACUCUAUACAUAAUAGCCGGCGCAAGAAUAUUAGCAACCGGUUCAUUAAUCUUCAUAACCCGUUGUGAUCUGAUUAGUCAAGAUCCUGAAUCGAUUAUUCUUGUCAAUUUAAAACAUCUAGGGUGAAAGAUUGAAAUCGGAAUCAUAGUAGAAAAUACAAAUUGGGUAUCAUGGCGAAUCCAACUUGAUAUUUCUAGUGUAUCCCAUCAUUUAUAUUGGCAAAAUAGAAUUAAGUUUUACUCGGAAAACCAAACUAUCUGAAUAUAGUUAGUUGCACGCCCUCAACACAUUUGAACAGUGAACAAAUCGCAUGACUUAUUUCUUCUUCUUAAACAGAUAAAAUCUUACAUCAACCAAAGUAGGAAACGACUUAAACAAGAAUACUUGCUGAUUGAAUUAGACGAGGACCGACGAAACAAACAGAAGCAAUAAAAAACACAAACAAAUCGAACUUCUCGAUCUAUCUAUCCAUGGAUCCUAAUACUCAUUAGGCGCAAAUGAAAUCAGAGGGAAGCUUUUUGCCGCAAGUAUUGAUAAGCAAACUCAAGGAGAUAGGAAUAUCGAUGUUAAUCCCCAGAAUGUUAGCUUUGAUGGCGGUACAAAGACAAACGGCAGCUUCAAGAUCGACCAGCCCUUGAAGAACUGAGCAGCAAGGCGUGUCUGGUGGAUUCCCGAUGACUGUUCCGACCGCACCGUCUAGUAUUUUGGCGCAAACUCCUAGUUUUAGGGCGUCUCUUGGGCAGCUAUGCUUUGUAGGAUUGCUGAUAGGAUUAGGGUUAGGGUUUGGGAUUGGCUUAGGUGGCAAGCAAGUGUUGCAGCCACUUACAUACGCAAAAAACAUGAGAUUAAGAGAUAGGAAGAAUACUGCAUGAAAAGAUCUGUAGGAUUCCAUUGAUCUCUAAGCUACUAAACCCUAAACAGAUUUGAUUAACAGUGUGACUAGCUUUGGGAAUAAGUGUGACCGACAAUUAAGGCUUAUAUAGGCGCAAGCGAGUGAACUCCGACGUGAGCCACAAAGAUUCGUGUAUUAAGAAAAUUACUGCGGAGGUGCUAAUAUUAAUUACCAAGUUGAUAUUUCUUAUAGAUGCGCUUUUCGAUUAAUUAGGAGAUAAUAAUAGAAUUAAUCGUAGUACGUAUGUAAUAAGCUUGUUUCCGUUAUAUUUUAUUAAUUACUAAUAAUGAACGUACUUGAACUUGUUUGUGUGUCAGUGUGUGCGCAUCUACAAUUGAAACUCUAAACAUUGUCGAUAUUAUACAUAAUGCGGUGAAAUCAUAUUCUUUCGUUUCAACAAGACGUUGCAAUAAUAUUUUUUAUAUGGAAAUUGUUGUAAUGCCUCAUUUUCUAUAUGUAUGAUGGCUAGUAGUAAUACCAAAAUCUCAUGAUAACUACCAUUUUCUGUCUUUUCAAAAUUUCAAAAUACUUAUCUUCUAAAAUUUUAGAUGAUCAAAUGUAUUGUUUUACAAUAACUAGCUCGUUUUCGCUGGCACAUAUUUUAUCAAUUUUUAGUAGAUCACGUAAAGAUCUGAAAAUUACUUCACGAACCAUGUUUUUAUCAUCUAUUUUUUGUUUUCUAUUAGACUUGCUGACAAAUAAUAUGCUUAAAUUUCUGGCGAGUUACGUAGUUGAAAUUGUUUUACACUGCCCUAUUAUAUGCAGAAAAAGUUAUACCUGUCGAAAUAAAUAUCGAAUAACCGAUAUUGUUCCUUAUAUAAAAAAAAAAAUUACAGAUCCGGCCAUUACCAGGAUAAGCAUACUUUAAUAUCAAUAUUUUGUUGUUGUGUGGAUCACAGGAAGAACCAAUGGGCGAUUUAGAAUUCUUAUGCAAACCCGUGAAGUGAACAAAAAUAAUAUGUUUUAAGAAAUAAUAAAAUAUAAAAUUUCCUUAUGCACAAUAAUUAAAAUCAUGUGUGGGGGCUGAAGACCAAGUUGUAGUUUUUUUUAAAGGUACAGUUUCUAAUUGUGAUUUUUAUUUUAUUUUUUCUGGCCAAAAAAUUAUCGUAAUGCAUAUGCUAAAAACGAUAUAGCGAUGAAAAGUAUAUGCUAUAUAUACGGGGUAAAACUACCACUAAUAUUGAAAUAUUUACAAUAAUAAAUUCGCCUCUUCAGAACAUCUUCUAGUUUUAUGUUUUUUGGUCGGACUUUGAGUAUGUCUUUAAUAGUGAGAAUGUUUUGGCUUCACAGUUUUUUUUUUUUUUUUUUUUUUUAAAUUGGCGUCUGGUAGAUCGAUAUGAUAGCUACAUAGGCACUGACGAGCAAGUGGGUACACUGAACUGGAAAAAAAAACUAUUAAUUAAAUAAUUAUAAUUUUUAAAGUGAAACCAGUCUCUCGAAGUCUUUGAUAAAAUAGCUACUUUUUGACUGAGUUCCUUUAUAAAAUAAAAAUAAAAAUAAAAAUUCAACCUUAACUGGUUCAGAAACUUUUGUAUUUUAGACUCAUUUUAGCAUUUAAACACUACUUCUGUUUUUCUUUUAGCUUUUAUUUUCCCUAAAUCCUCGCUGUGUUGGUUUAACGAAUCUUUGCGGAUGAUGAUGAAGAUCACUCAUUCUAUUUAGUGAAGAUUCUUCAUGCAUCAUGUCUAAACAUUUCUUAUUGUUUGUUUUUAUAGUUAUGAUGUGUGAGUAGCUACCCAACGUGGAUAUAAGAUACAUCAUGCAUGAGAAACUCGUGGAAUUAUGCUUGAUUUAUGAUUCUUUAGAAUUGUUUUUAGUGAUUUACUUAUAGAAUGUUUCGGAUUAAUGGUGGUCACCUAGUUUUAGAAUCCAAAGUAAUCCAUGCAAUAAAAAUGCUUGAUGAAAUGCUAAUGCAUACAACUCUAAUGUAGUAAAAUUAGUCCAAUCAACCACCACAAAAAAAGUGUUGAUAACAUCAAAUAAAUUAUAUCAGAAAAAUAAUUGAUACUAAUUAGAGUCAUUUAUUUACAAGUGACAUAAAUUAUACAGUAUUAACAUCAGUUAAUACAAAUGAUGUUAUUAUUAUAGAAAUCAAAGUUUGCUAAGAACUCAAUAACAAAGAAUAACUCUCUUUAUUAGCUUAAGAAAAUAACUCAAAACUUAAGCUCUCAAACACAAACUCAUAAGUUAUGUCACAACUUUGACAUCUCUUUAUAUAAUAAUUUAUUUCCUUUUCCUAAUAGAAACAUGCUUUCCUUUUUAGAUAACUCCUAACAAAUCCUUAGAUAACUCCUAAGAUAUUCCUUAUUCUAAUAGGAAACAUAUAAGCUUGCUUCUAGAAUGUUAACUUCAAGCUUAAGUCAACAUUCUCCCCUUUAAGCUUGAAGUCUUCAUCAAGCACACUCUGAACUCCCAUGAGAUCUCUCAUCUCUUUGAACUUGAUCCUCCCUAGUGCCUUAGUCAAUAUGUCUGCCUUUUGCUCAUUACCUGGAAUGUGUUCGACCUCUACUUGCCCAUUUUCAACACAUUCUCUUAUAAAAUGAUACCUUGUGUGAAUGUGCUUACUUCGCCCAUGGAAGACUGGAUUCCUUGUAAGAGCAAUGGCGGACUGAUUGUCUAUCCGAAUGAGAACUUUCUGACUUGAUGCACCGGUGAUUUCACUGAGCAGAUCUUGUAGCCAUAUUGCUUGUCUUGCAGCUUCUGUGCCAGCCAUAAACUCGGCUUCACAUGAUGAUAGAGCUACAGUUUCUUGUUUUUGUGAGCACCAAGAGAUCGGACUAUCUCCAAGAUAGAAGAUAUGACCGGUUGUGCUUUUGCCAUCGUCAGGGUCCACAUUGUAGCUACUAUCACUAAAACCUGUGAGCCUUGGUGUUUCCGAGUUCGAACGUUUGAAGGUCAAUCCAAAAGUAGUUGUUCCUUGUAGAUACCUUAGACAAUGCUUCAUUGCUGCUCCAUGAGACACUUUAGGUCUCUGCAUGUAUCUACUUAAGACUCCUAGACAAUAAGCCAAAUCUGGUCUUGUGUGAAGUAAGUAUCGAAGACAUCCCACAUUCUUUCGGUAACUUGUGGCGUCGAUAUCCUUCUCUUCUUCAGACCUUGAUAGCUUGAGUCCUGAAUCCAUUGGCGUAUGAGUCAUGUUGCAAUUUUCCAUUCCAGCUUCUUCUAGAAUUUUUAGUGCAUAACGCCUUUGAUUCAAUGUUAUCCCUUCUUUGCUUUGACACACUUCUAUCCCAAGGUAGUAUGUCAAUUUACCAAGAUCACUCAUUUCAAACUUGGACACCAUCUGUUCCUUGAAUUCGUAGAUGUUCUCUCUUUUUGUUCCCGUAACAAACAAGUCGUCUACAUAGACUGCGACAAGAAGAAGAUUUCCAUUUAUCAAUCUUCGAUAUACCGAGGGUUCCUUGGAGCAUUUUACGAACUGCAACUCCUUGAGAACCUGAUUCAAUUUAUGGUUCCAGGCUCUUGGUGCUUGUCUUAACCCAUAUAAAGCUUUGUUGAGCUUAUAUACUUUGUCUUCUCUCCCCUUUACUUCGAAACCCUCUGGUUGUGUAACAUAGACAGUUUCUUUUAACUCGCCAUGAAGAAACGCAGUUUUAACAUCCAGAUGAUGUAUUUCCCAACCAUAUGAUGCUGCUAAGUUGAUAAGGAGUCUGAUCGUCUCUAUUCGUGCAACAGGUGCAAAAACUUCAUCAAAGUCGAUCCCGUACCUCUGCACAUAGCCUUUAGCGACCAAACGCGCUUUGUACUUGUUAAUACUUCCAUCUGAAUUCCUUUUGACCUUAAAUACCCAUUUUAGGCCAAUCGCUUUUGCUCCCUGAGGUAAAUCGGUGAGAUCCCAUGUGUGAUUCUUUGUAAUGGAUCGUACCUCAUCUUCACACACGCUUAUCCAUUCUUUUGACUCCUUUGCUUCAGCAAAAUUUCUUGGUUCGUUAUUUAAACACAACAGGAGCAUCUCUCCUUCUUCUUCGCACAACAUUAUGAAAUCUUCAAGAUGCUUCAGUUUUGUCCUAGGUCGCGUUGACCUUCUUAGAACAGGUUGAACCUCUUCAUUCUCUGUUCCGAUCUCAUUUGUAUCGUACACAUCUUCUUCUUCAUUAUUGUGUUCGAAGUCUUCAUCCUGCCCUGUCUCUGUUCCUUCAUGCUCUGUUUCGACAGCCUCAUCCUCUGUUUGCUGGAUUCCAUGAUUUCUGAAGCUUCCAAGGCUGAUCUUGAAGUCACCUGACUCGUUUUCUCUGAGUUAGUAUGACUCCAAUUCCAUCCCUUUUCUUCAUCGAAAAUAACAUCUCUACUUACUACCACCUUUCUGGAUUUUGGAUCAAGUAGUCGGUAUGCUUUUGAUCCCGGUUCUGUCCCUAGAUGAACCAGUAUCCUCGAUCGAUCAUCUAGCUUUUUCAGAUGCGGUCCUUCUACUUUUGCAUAUCCGAUACAUCCGAAGAUUCGCAGGUGGCUGAUGUUAGGUUUUCUUUCACGAAACAUUUCAUACGGAGUCUUGUCCUUUAGGGCCCUUGUUGAUAUCCUGUUGAGAAGAUAUGUCGAAUGCCUCACUGCUUUUCCCCACAGAAAAUUCGGAACAGAUCUAUGUUUCAUAAUGCUUCUCGUCAUCUCCAUUAAUGUCCUAUUACGUCUCUCAACAACUCCAUUUUGUUGAGGCGAAUAUGGAGCUGUAAGGUGGCGUUUUAUCCCCGAGUUGUCACAAAACGAGUUGAACUCUAUUGAUAUAAACUCACCACCUCUGUCAGUACGAAAAGUUUGGAUCUUUGAUCCUGAGUCUUGUUCCACUAAGUUCUUGAAUUUCUUGAACUUUUCAAAGGCAUCGCUUUUCUCCUUUAAUAAUAUUGUCCACAUAUACCUGGAAUAGUCAUCGAUUAGGACAAAUAUAUAUCUGUUUCCUGCAGCUGUUGAUGGUGUUAUGGGACCACAAAGGUCACCGUGAACUAACUCGAGAAUCCUGUUUGCUCGAAACAGAGUCGCUUGUGGGAACACAUGUCUCGUUUGCUUUCCAAGUAAGCAAGACUCGCAGAGAUGUUUUUCGAUGGCUAUACUUGGGAUUCCUGAUACCAGCUCCUUCUGUAUCAUGGUUUUGAUUGUGUCGACAUUCACAUGACCCAGCCUCUCAUGCCAUCUGCUUGAGCUACUUGCAAUUGUCGAAUGCAGACACUCGUCAUUCUUGAGUUCCAUGUGCACUUUGUAUAACCGGUUUCUUGAUCUUUUCGCCUUGGCUAGUAAUUUUCCAUCUCGAUCCUGCAUUAUCAAGUGUUCCCCUUUCAUCUUUACUUCACAUCCUGAUUCGGUAGCUUGUCCAAGACUAAUGAUAUUGGACUUCAGGUUUGGGAUGUAAUAAACAUCAGUCAUCUUUCUUGGUUCGACGUUCCUAUCUGUGAACUCAAUCGUUCCUUUCCCUCUAAUAUCAAUCCUGGAAUCAUCGCCAAACCGUACUUUUCCAGUUACAGAGCUAUCAAGUUGUGCAAAGUAUCGUCGAUCCCCUGUCAUGUGGUUGCUAGCUCCAUUGUCAAGGUACCACAUGUUUUCAUUGUUGGUGCUCGUUUCAUUGUUACUCGGCACAACCUUUCCUUCAUUCAGAUACACGAUUUCAUGCAUCAUUAGCUUGUCUGCGUCUUGAGUAUCUGUGUUGUCAUCUUCCUGUGCUUCUUGUAGUUUAAGCAAUCGAUCUGGACAGUUAGAGGCAAAGUGACCCAUCUUGUCACAACGGUAGCAAGUUAUUUUGGACAUAUCUCUCGGUCCAAUGUUUCUUCCCCUUCCUCUUCCUCUGCCAUAGAAGCGUCCUCCUCGACUUCUGCUUCUAUAUUCGCCAUUGGAAUCAUUAGUGGAUUGGGUAUCUGUAUUCGCAUACAUCAAUUUGCUCUGAUCUUCUUGAGCAUCUUCUUCCUCGUGGAUGCGUUCCUCGUAUGCUUUCAAACGUCCGAUUAUAUCUUCAAAGCUUGUUGUGUUAAGAUCCAACACUUGUUCAAGCGAGGCAAUGAUAUGAAUGUAUUUCUUGCGAGGGAGGCUGCUAAGGAAUUUCUUGACCAACUUCGAAUCUUCGAUGGUAUUUCCUAAGGCAGCUGAUUUGGAUGAAAUUUCUGAUAACUUGCUGCUGAAGUCAUCAAUUGUCUCAAUGUCUUUCAUCUUAAGCCGAUCCAAUUCUGACAUUAAUGUCUGCAGCCGAGCUUCUUUCACCCGUUCAGCUCCCAUGUGUCUUGUUUUAAUGGCCUCCCACACCUUCUUUGCAGUAUUCAGCUCACCGACUUGUAAAACUAGGGUUUCAGGUAUGGAUUGAAAAAUCAAUGCCAUGGCUACGUCGUUCUUUUCGGUAUCUGUUGUCUCGGUUUCUACUAUGUCCCAAACCUUGUGAACCCUAAGUAGACUCCUCAUUCUUAUGCCCCAUACCGUAUAAUUCGUAGAAUUCAGCAUCGAACAUUGAAUGGUGGAAGUGCUUGGUUCUUUAGGUCGUGGGUUCGAAUUUGGAACAAGAUCUCCCAUAGUUUGGUAUUUCAGAAUCUUCGUGAUCAAACUUCUUCUCUUAGAUCGAUCCCUUUAAGCUCUGAUACCAAUUAUAGAAAUCAAAGUUUGCUAAGAACUCAAUAACAAAGAAUAACUCUCUUUAUUAGCUUAAGAAAAUAACUCAAAACUUAAGCUCUCAAACACAAACUCAUAAGUUAUGUCACAACUUUGACAUCUCCUUAUAUAAUAACUUAUUUCCUUUUCCUAAUAGAAACAUGAUUUCCUUUUUAGAUAACUCCUAACAAAUCCUUAGAUAACUCCUAAGAUAUUCCUUAUUCUAAUAGGAAACAUAUAAGCUUGCUUCUAGAAUGUUAACUUCAAGCUUAAGUCAACAAUUAUUAGUUUAUAUGGCAUCGAUUGCAUAAAACUGAUACUAAUUUAUUUUAAAUCACAUCACUUGAACAAUAUUGAUACAAAACCAAAUUUUAUAUCAUUAGAUAAUUGAUGUAUAUAUUAGCAUCACUUGAACAAAAUAAUGCAAAUUUUGUAGCAAUUAAAAAGUGAUGCCAACAAAGAACUGAAUUAAACAAUUAAUAUAUUUAAUUUAAUUUGGUCAAAACUUAUCUGUCCCACAUCGGUUAGGAGAACUUGAGAGGAGAGAAUUGCUCUACUAUAAAAUAAACUCAUCAUUGUUAAUAAUCGUAUGAUUUUAUUAACUUCAACCAAAAUCUUCGAUAUAAAAAAAAUAUUUUUAAUAAUAAUUCUAGUUAAUUAUUGUAUGAGAGUUCACAAAAUAUAUUUAUAUUAAUAAAAAAAACAAAAGGGUUUUGAUAUAAAUUUUUAAAAUAAAUUAAAAUUUAUACCAAAAUAGCAUUUUUAACAUCAAUUAUUUAUAAUUGAUACAAAUAUUAAUAUCAUUUAUAAUAACUGAUGUAAAAUUUAAUAUCACUUAAAACAAUUGACAUAUAUUAAUAUCAAUUAUUCUAAUUGAUGUAAAUAUUUAAAAUAUUUACAUCAGUUAUUAAUGAACUGAUAUAAAGUAUUUGCAUCACCACUUUCAGAAAAAAAAUGAUGUAAAAUUCUUUUACAUCAGUUAUAAAUAAUACAAAUAAAUAAAAUAAAUGAUGUAUUAUGAUGUUUUUUUUGUAGUGAACGAGAAUUAAAGUUAUGAGAAUUUAUGAGUUUAACGGACCUAUUCCUUUUGUAGCUAAUCACUUAGAUUGCCAGUGAGAGUCGAGUAAUACUAAAUAUUAACUCUCUUUUUUUUUGACCAAAACUAAAUAUAAACUCUCGUUUAAUUGACCAAAACUAAAUAUUAACUAUCGUAGACUAUUUUAAUAUUUACAUUGUUAUAGUUCUCAUAGUUUUGCAUGUUCUAGUUUAUUUGAUUUCCUAAAUGUAAUUGCUUAUCUCGUUGAAUCUAUUGCUUGUUAGUAUCUUCUAUUUAUACUUCGUUAUAUAUAAAAAAUUAAUAAACAAAAUCGACUGUUGAAUUAGUCUUCGCUCGAGUCUUUAUCGACUACUUGAUAUCAAGUAAUCUAUAUAUACAAAAAUCAUGCUGUAGAUGAAGGUGUCUUUGGUAUAUAUGUGUACUGUAAGGCGCCUCGUUGUACUCUCAUGAUCGAUCUUAUCUUGUUUUACAUUUGUUUGUGAAGGGCAGAGGAGAACCAGCAUUGUCAUUGUCACAUGGUUUUUCUAUGGCAAUCAUGCAUUAUAAUAUAUCUAUAGGAAAAUUUGUAUUAAAUAACCUUAGAAUGACACCCAAUAAUCCGUUAAAUCUAUAAAAUAUUUCACUCACAAUGUAAACCUUAAAAUAAAUUUUUUUUUGUGCAACUAACCUUUAAAUAAAAAAAUAUUAACACAAAAACCCUCAAAUUAGUUUUUUAGUGUGCAUCUUCAAAAUAUAUAACGAAGCUGUUUAUUUAUUUUCCGUUUAAAAGUAAUGCAUGGCUUUAAAUUUAUUAUUUAAGUUAUUCUUAAUUAUUUUUAUUUUUUUGUAAAAAACUCUUAAAAAUGAAAAAAAAAAACUAAAAAUAAAUCAGACAAUGCCGGAGUUUGGCUUGUCGGUUAUCAAAUCCUAAACCGAAUCCAGGCCCAAAACCUGAUUCGAAAAGCCACGCUAUUUUCAGCAGCAUGUUUUUGAAAUUGAUGAAUUAAGAAUAAGAUCGGGAAUUUAUCCCAAAAAAAAAAAGAAUAAGAUCGGAAAGCAUGUCAGGUUCGACGGCAGAAAUCCAAGCUAGACUAUAUCCAUCGAGAAGAAAAGAUAUUCGUCAAAGAUUCCGUUUUCAAGACAAUUGUCACAGUAUAGGAAAAUUUGUGAUCAAUUGACAUGGAAAUUUAAUGAAUGGGGAAUAUAGAAAACUCUGUGAUCAAUUGACAUGAAAAUUUGAGGUUUUUGGAGAAAAUGGAUAUUGAAAAAUAAAUUUGAGUUUUGUAGUUUAUUGUAAACUUUGUGAUCAUCCGCAUAAAUAAUUAUGUAUACUCCGUUUACAAAUGUGUUUAACGUAUUAUAAUUACUUGGUCUUUUCAUUUCACCAUCCCAGCCCGUAACGAUGGGUAAUACGCAAUUUCAAUAUUUUUUAUUGAUGUUUUGUAAAUCUUAAAAUUCUUUGUUGAGGUACAUUUUUUCUUUUUGAAUGGCAACCAUUAAAAACACGAUAAUUAAUUGUAAUCAAUCAUUCACAAUUUUAUAAUAAAAUAUUUUCAUAAUAAUUUUACGGACGCUCUAGGGCUUUCCUUGAAGGCUUGAACCACUAUAAAACAUACCUCAAUCCCCUUCAUAUUCUCCACACUCAAUUCACCCACAACAUAGCUAGUGAACAGUAUCUUCUAAGCAAAAAAUGGCUUCAAGCUCCAUAGCCCUUUUCCUGGCUCUCAAUCUCCUUUUCUUCACAACUAUCUCCGCAUGCGGUAGCUGCACUCCGUGCGGUGGUGGUUGCCCCUCUCCCAAGCCAAAACCAACUCCUAAACCUAAACCAACCCCAAGCCCUAGCUCUGGCAUGAACAAGUGUCCCAAAGACACUCUCAAGCUCGGUGUCUGCGCCAAUGUGCUUAACGGCCUCCUCGACUUGACUCUCGGCAAGCCACCGGUCGAGCCAUGCUGCAGCCUCAUCCAAGGACUCGCUGAUGUUGAAGCAGCCGUUUGUCUCUGCACCGCCCUUAAGGCUAACGUUCUUGGAAUCAACUUGAACCUCCCAAUCUCUCUAAGUCUGCUCCUUAAUGUUUGCAGCAAACAAGUUCCUCCCGGCUUCCAGUG